rnacentral:piRNA from 1 species
UUCAAAAGUGUAAAUUUUCUUUCACCCU